CAGUCGACGGGAAUCUUCGGAUUCUAGUGGCGGACGGGUGAGUAACGCGCAAGAAUCUAACUUCAGGACGGGGACAACAGUUGGAAACGACUGCUAAUACCCGAUGUGCCGAAAGGUGAAACCUAAUUGGCCUGGAGAAGAGCUUGCGUCUGAUUAGCUAGUUGGUGGGGUAAAGGCCUACCAAGGCGACGAUCAGUAGCUGGUCUGAGAGGAUGAGCAGCCACACUGGGACUGAGACACGGCCCAGACUCCUACGGGAGGCAGCAGUGGGGAAUUUUCCGCAAUGGGCGAAAGCCUGACGGAGCAACGCCGCGUGAGGGAGGAAGGUCUUUGGAUUGUAAACCUCUUUUCUCAAGGAAGAAGUUCUGACGGUACUUGAGGAAUCAGCCUCGGCUAACUCCGUGCCAGCAGCCGCGGUAAUACGGGGGAGGCAAGCGUUAUCCGGAAUUAUUGGGCGUAAAGCGUCCGCAGGUGGUCAGCCAAGUCUGCCGUCAAAUCAGGUUGCUUAACGACCUAAAGGCGGUGGAAACUGGCAGACUAGAGAGCAGUAGGGGUAGCAGGAAUUCCCAGUGUAGCGGUGAAAUGCGUAGAGAUUGGGAAGAACAUCGGUGGCGAAAGCGUGCUACUGGGCUGUAUCUGACACUCAGGGACGAAAGCUAGGGGAGCGAAAGGGAUUAGAUACCCCUGUAGUCCUAGCCGUAAACGAUGGAUACUAGGCGUGGCUUGUAUCGACCCGAGCCGUGCCGAAGCUAACGCGUUAAGUAUCCCGCCUGGGGAGUACGCACGCAAGUGUGAAACUCAAAGGAAUUGACGG
rnacentral:rRNA from 1 species